CGGCCAGUUUCUUCUCUAAUUGCUCCAUUUUGUUUCUCCGGCUUGCCGGAAUCACUUUCAUCGAUAUGUUGGAACCCAAUAGGUAUGCCUCUCCCUCUUUUCAUUUUAUUUCUCGAUUUUAUUCUUAUUUUGUUCCUCUCAUUUCAGUUUAGUUUAGGAAGUAUGUGUUCAAAUUGCUUUGUGUUAAGCGUCUGAAAAUAAGAGAAUUUAAAAAUAAAAAAAAUAAAAAGACAGAAAUGAAAGAGAGAGAAAUUUUUGUAGUGAUCUUAGCUUCUGUUGCCUACUUCGCAUUUUUCUGGGUUUCUACGAGUUGUUUGAGGUCGAAACACCGCUGUUAAUUGCUGGAAUUGUUGCUGAACUCCAUUAGUUGCUUUCUUCAGACCUUUAUUUGGUCAUUCCUGUUAUAUUCCUUGCCAUUACGUAUGUUCAUAUUCAUCUGAAAAUUUUUAUUCAAGUCUAUAACAUGAAAAUUUGGUUUGUCUAUGCUGUUUUUGUGUUUAAUCAUCUAGAUCCAGCAUGUUUGAUUGCUAAAGUUGUUCAGAUCUCACUCUCUGUUAAUAUCUAAAGUUGUUAGUACGCUUUAACUGAAUGUUUAGGCGUAUUAAGUCUUGCUGAUGAAAUGUCACGUCUGUUUGUUGAUGUUUGAUUACUUGAAACCGAAGGUUCAUCUUUAAGUUGAUGUUAAAUGUGGCAAACUUGUGCAUCUAACCACCAGCUGGUCAGAUUCAUUUGUGAAAAUCCAGAUCAACAGGGUUAACCACAAGAAGUAUAUGAUUGGGGGAGGUCUUGUUGUUGGCUCUUCCCAGUCGAUGCAAGCAGUAGUAGAUAACAUGGAUUCAUAGUUUAUAGGCUAAAUUGUAAAAUUAAUUGGUUGUAUUACAGAAGUAAUCACGUUGUGUAUUGAUCACUGUAUGUGGAAGAUACCUUUACAUGAUGAAUUGCGUUGUCAG
rnacentral:lncRNA from 1 species